AUACGGAGGAUGCAAGCGUUAUCCAGGUUCAUUGGGUUUAAAGGGUGCGUAGGCUGUUCGACAAGUCAGGGGUGAAAGCCCGGCGCCUAACGCCGGAACUGCCUUUGAUACUGCCGAGCUGGAAUACGGAUGCCGUGGGAGGAAUGAGUAGUGUAGCGGUGAAAUGCAUAGAUAUUACUCAGAACACCGAUUGCGAAGGCAUCUCACGAAUCCGUCAUUGACGCUGAGGCACGAAAGCGUGGGGAUCAAACAGGAUUAGAUACCCUGGUAGUCCACGCAGUAAACGAUGAUGACUAACCGUCGGCGAUACACAGUCGGUGGCCAAGCGAAAGCGAUAAGUCAUCCACCUGGGGAGUACGUUCGCAAGAAUGAAACUCAAAUGAAUUGACGGGG
rnacentral:rRNA from 1 species